rnacentral:rRNA from 1 species
CCCGAGUGCCAGCACAGGCUGGCUGUCCACCAGUGUAAAAAACUGGUGAAGAAAGGGCCGGGCAAGACCGGUGCCAGCCGCCGCGGUAAUACCGGCGGCUCGAGUGGUGGCCGCUUUUACUGGGCUUAAAGGGUCCGUAGCUGGAUCUGCAAGUCCCUUGAGAAAUCCAUCGGCUUAACUGAUGGGCGUUCAGGGGAUACUGUGGUUCUAGGGACCGGGAGAGGUGAGAGGUACUGCCGGGGUAGGAGUGAAAUCCUGUAAUCCCGGUGGGACGACCUAUGGCGAAGGCAUCUCACCAGAACGGCUCCGACAGUGAGGGACGAAAGCUGGGGGAGCAAACCGGAUUAGAUACCCGGGUAGUCCCAGCUGUAAACGAUGCGCGUUAGGUGUGUCAGUGACCACGUGUCACUGAGGUGCCGAAGGGAAACCGUGAAACGCGCCGCCUGGGGAGUACGGUCGCAAGGCUGAAACUUAAAGGAAUUGGCGGGGGAGCACCACAACGGGUGGAGCCUGCGGUUUAAUCGGACUCAACGCCGGAAAUCUCACCGGAUAAGACAGCUGAAUGAUAGUCGGGAUGAAGACUCUACUUGACUAGCUGAGAGGAGGUGCAUGGCCGUCGUCAGUUCGUACUGUGAAGCAUCCUGUUUAGUCAGGCAACGAGCGAGACCCACGCCAACAAUUGCCAGCAUAACCUUCGGGUUGAUGGGGACAUCGUUGGGACCGCCUCUGCUAAAGGGGAGGAAGGAAUGGGCAACGGUAGGUCAGCAUGCCCCGAAUUAUCCGGGCUACACGCGGGCUACAAUGGUCAGGACAAUGGGUUCCGACACCGAAAGGUGAAGGCAAUCUCCUAAACCUGUCCGAAGUUCGGAUUGCGGGUUGUAACUCACCCGCAUGAAGCUGGAAUCCGUAGUAAUCGCGUUUCAACAUAGCGCGGUGAAUAUGUCCCUG